AUAUUUUUACAUGUAAGGGGCAACCAAACAAAGGGAUGCCCACAAACGACAGGACUACAGAAGUUUUGUUUGGUGAGCCGCUGUCACAGCUGGGUAGACCAGAGGCUAGGCCUUCAUCAAAUUCCGAUGGAAGGCAAACGAGCCUCUGAGAGGCCUACUGCCAACAUAUGACGACGGGCGUAGUAGACCAGGGCAAUGCAGCAUGGCCUACUACAAGAAGGUACAUGUCAUUCAGUAAUGAUCCUUCCGCAGGUUCACCUACGGAAA
rnacentral:misc_RNA from 1 species